AUUGAACGCUGGCGGCAGGCCUAACACAUGCAAGUCGAGCGGAUGAAGGGAGCUUGCUCCUGGUUUCAGCGGCGGACGGGUGAGUAAUGCCUAGGAAUCUGCCUGGUAGUGGGGGAUAACGUCCGGAAACGGGCGCUAAUACCGCAUACGUCCUGCGGGAGCAAGUGGGGGAUCUUCGGACCUCACGCUAUCAGAUGAGCCUAGGUCGGAUUAGCUAGUUGGUGGGGUAAAGGCCUACCAAGGCGACGAUCCGUAACUGGUCUGAGAGGAUGAUCAGGCACACUGGAAGUGAGACACGGUCCAGACUCCUACGGGAGGCAGCAGUGGGGAAUAUGGGGCAAUGGGCGAAAGCCUGAUCCAACCAUGCCGCGUGUGUGAAGAAGGUCUUCGGAUUGUAAAGCACUUUAAGUGGGGAGGAAGGGCAGUAAGUUAAUACCUUGCUGUUUUGACGUUACCAACAGAAUAAGCACCGGCUAACUUCGUG
rnacentral:rRNA from 1 species